UUCAAGCUGUUUGUUAGCCGUUAUCUAAGGCCAGGUUCCUGAGUUCCUAAUUCCUGUCUGUUGCUGAACUGACCAGACUGAUGGCGAGCUAACCCUAGUUUGAACCAGGAGAUCUGUUAAAUCCCCACCACUCCUUCCACUGCGGUCGGAGGCGUGCAAGGCAACAACAUAUUCAUUUUCACUCUGGACUCAACUGGAUCCUGCCAAUAACUUUUUAUUUUUUUCUCCCUUCUGGUUGUUGAACUGAUGAACGUUUUGCCUACACAAGAAAAAAAGAUUUGCGGUGAUGCCUGCUGUUCCCCCAUUUUGGGCCCGGGACAACAGAGUUCCACCUGCAGCCUGAAAGUCAGAGCGGAGCAGACAAAGGUGAUACAGGAGGGCCUGUUUUUUCCCGGAGCAGAGAGACAGAUUCAGGCUGUGAGAAGGAGAAGGCAGAAAGCGCUCGCUACUGAUAUCAAUGGAAGUGCCAAAUAAGGGGCUGGUUGAUAGUUUGAAGGCGGAAUUUACUGAAAUGGCUGUUUUACACCUACUGCUGGGUUUGCUUGGUAAAGCCCUCUUCCUGUUGUCCUGUCUCCUUUCUGUUGCCUUCCUGGGUUACUGCUUGUACCUCAAGUACAUUCACAUAAAAUAUGACCACAUACCAGGGCCACCGGGGGACAGCUUCUUCUUUGGCCAUUCACCAACACUUUUGAGGUAGUAGUGCAUGGCAAAUUCCUGGAAUGGUAACCACAGUAGGUUUACACAGUACUUACUUCAAUCAGCUUGCCAGGGAAUGUGUGCUUCACUAAAAUUCUCUAAUCUGUUUAAUUAACUAAUAGUUUAGUAUUAAAUUUCCUAUUUGCCUUUGUGCUAGAUUUAUAAUUCACAUUUUAAAAUAAAUAUUAACAUAUCAUUUGCAGGUCUGAGACAUACGGACAUGUUUGCAGGAUACAUUUUCUGCAUUAUGUUAGUGUGUUUGUGACCUGUCCAGAGACAACAAAGGUAAAAAGUGUGA